rnacentral:misc_RNA from 1 species
AUGUCCAAAAGUUACCCAAAGAGGGACAUGUCCAAUACAUGUGGUAGAGUGAGGCAGGUGCGCCUUUACAUUUAUCACAUGUAGGGUCGACAUCAGGAUACAUUCGCGCUAAUUUGGUUUUUGAUAUGUGGAUUCGAUGCACUACUUUAAAUUGUAAAAGUGCAUGUCAAGAACACAUAGAAGAGGAGUGUAUCCGAUCAAGCACCGAGUCCCAUGUGUCCUCUGUAAAGGUGUAAUUUAGGUCUUGCUCCCAAGCAGUUCUUAUAGUUGCCACUGAAGAGCAGUGCAGUUUGGAAAUAAGGUUAUAUAGAUUGGACA